GACAGAGGAUGCAAGCGUUAUCCGGAAUGAUUGGGCGUAAAGAGCUCGUAGGUGGUUCGGUAAGUCGGAUGUGAAAUCUCCAGGCUCAACCUGGAGGGGUCAUUCGAUACUGCCGUGACUAGAGGUCGGUAGGGGAGUGUGGAAUUCCUGGUGGAGCGGUGAAAUGCGCAGAUAUCAGGAGGAACACCGGUGGCGAAGGCGGGUCUCUGGGCCCUACCUGACGCUGAGACGCGAAAGCGUGGGGAGCGAACCGG
rnacentral:rRNA from 1 species